UACGUAGGGUGCUAGCGUUGUCCGGAAUCAUUGGGCGUAAAGCGCGCGUAGGCGGCCCGGUAAGUCCGUUGUGAAAGUCAAAGGCUCAACCUUUGAAUGUCAGCGGAUACUGCCGGGCUAGAGUCCGGAAGAGGCGAGUGGAACUCCUGGUGUAGCGGUGGAAUGCGCAGAUAUCAGGAAGAACACCAACGGCGAAGGCAGCUCGCUGGGACGGAACUGACGCUAAGGCGCGAAAGCGUGGGGAGCAAACAGG
rnacentral:rRNA from 1 species